GACGAACGCUGGCGGCGUGCCUAAUACAUGCAAGUCGAACGCAGUUGCGAACGGGUGAGUAACGCGUAGGUAACUGCCUCAUAGCGGGGGUUAAAUAUUGGAAACGCUAGCUAAUACCGCAUACUGUGAGAUGGACCUGCGUUGUAUUCGCUAGUUGGUGAGGUAAAGGCUCACCAAGGCGACGAUACAUACCCGACCUGCGAGGGUGAAGGGCCAAACUGGGACUGAGAGAAGGCCCAGACUUAUAAGGGAGGGAGCAGGGGGGAAUCUUCGGCAAUGGACGGAAGUCGGACCGAGCAACGCAGGGGGAAUGAAGAAGGUUUGCGGGUCGUAAAGCUCUGUUGGUAGGGAGGCGGUAACUAACCAGAAAGGUACGGCUAACUACGUGCCAGCAGCCGCGGUAAUUC
rnacentral:rRNA from 1 species